rnacentral:rRNA from 1 species
CUGCCGGAGGAUCAUUACCACACCAUAAAACUUUCCACGUGAACCGUUGUAAUUAUGUUCUGUGCUCUCUCUCGGGAGGGCUGAACGAAGGUGGAGCCGUCAGGUUCUGCCGAUGUACUUUUAAACCCCUUUACUAAAUACUGAACUAUACUCCGAGAACGAAAGUUUUUGGUUUUAAUCAAUAACAACUUUCAGCAGUGGAUGUCUAGGCUCGCACAUCGAUGAAGAACGCUGCGAACUGCGAUACGUAAUGCGAAUUGCAGAAUUCAGUGAGUCAUCGAAAUUUUGAACGCACAUUGCACUUUCGGGAUAUUCCUGGAAGUAUGCUUGUAUCAGUGUCCGUACAUCAAACUUGCCUUUCUUUUUUUGUGUAGUCAAGGAGAGAAAUGGCAGAAUGUGAGGUGUCUCGCUGGCUCCCUCUUCGGAGGAGAAGACGCGAGUCCCUUUAAAUGUACGUUCGCUCUUUCUUGUGUCUGAGAAGUUUUGUAACAUUCGAACGCAGUGAUCUGUUUAGAUCGCUUUGCGCGAGUGGGCGACUUCGGUUAGGACAUUAAGGAAGCAACCUCUAUUGGCGGUAUGUUAGGCUUCGGCCCGACUUUGCAGCUGACAGUGUGUUGUUUUCUGUUCUUUCCUUGAGGUGUACCUGUCUUGUGUGAGGCAAUGGUCUAGGCAAAUGGUUAUUGUGUAGUAGGAUGGUGCAGCUCUUGGACGCCCUACUCGUAGGGUAAAGGAGGCAACACCAAUUUGGGAUAGUCUGUUGGGAUGUAUUUCUCUUCGGGCGCAUUUUCAAUUUGGACCUGAUAUCAAGUAAGAUUACCCGCUGAACUUAA